AUAUAAACAUCACUAUGUUAGGAGCCAAGUCAAAUUGUCAAAAGGCAACAAACACUGCUUCAGUAGAAAAUAGAAAUUGAUACAGGUUUAUAUUUGAAGUUUGUGUUUAGCACACAGUGAUGUUUAUAUUUGAAGUUUGUCCUUUUCUUUGAAGCUAAUAUUUUGUGAGUCAUUUCAUGGCUCCACGCCGCCCAUGCCCUGGCCGGCCGACGAUGCCAGCGGCAGGUGGCGGCCUACUAGCUGGUGGGUCGGGCAAGCGCAGGAUGGGCUCCUCUGAUGCUGCCUCUGAUGAUAUGGACCAUGGCUACACGAUAUCUCCACAAGAUACUCCUCAAUUUCUUCGUGCCAUUUGACAUUCCUUUUUUUGUGCUUCGGACCAUGGCUUCGGUUCUUGUGUGUUUUGUUUCCUUUUUUAGAGUUCUUUUUCGGUGUUUUUUGGAUAGAUUGUGCUCUUUAACCUAUGACACUCGCAACUGAACGGUUCCAUAUACUUUCAGCAUCGGCGGUGUGCUCUUUGCAAAGCCUUGGAGCUGCCUCUCCUGUAAAGUCUGAACUUGCAGAGAUAGUCCCACAAGAGAAAUCACCAAAAGCUUCCAUUCAACCAAUGCCACCGAGUCCAAGGUAUUCUACCUCAAGAUGAAGGGCGACUACCACAGGUAUACUGUUAUCGCUAGCGGAUCUAGACCAUGCAAGUUGUGGUUUGUAGAGAUCAAAACUUAAGAUCUGUGUAUACAUAUUUGUCUAGAUAAUGGGAGUGGCAGGAUGCUGGUUUUUAGUAAGGUUGGUUGCUUAUCUAUGAAUUUGCCUGUAUGAUGCAUGAUCCUAUGUUGUCUCCUAUAGUACAUGGUUGAAAUAUAAAUUUGUGUUCCAUGUUUUUUACCCGCCCCCUACACGUAUCUCUUGGAUAUCUGAUUUCUACUCACGAUGAUUUGGCAUGUACCUUGCCGAGUUCAAGUCAGGUGCAUAGAGGAAGGAUGUUGCGGGGAGCACCAUGAAUCCCUACAAAGCUGCUCAGGUUUCCUCUGACUGUUCACCAUUAUUGGAAGCAGGGCAGACAGAGAGCCUUGGAAUCGAACUCUUGGAGAUGGUGCCUAGCAGGGAAGAGGAGAUUAAGUUGAAAGAAUACAGGGAGGAUGUUGUGUCAACUUUUGUAGUUGAUGAUUAUGUGAGACUUCAGUUUAAGGGCUCAACUUUUACCGGUUCUUGGAAGUCAUUUAGUAGCCCUAAGAUUUCAUCAACAUUCUUAGUAGUAAUUGCUAUAGUAUCAAAUGGGAUUGUGGUACGAGUUGCUCGAGUACUAAGUACUAACGUUGUUGUACAUUGUGAAGCUAAGUGGGUAAUAUCAAAAGGGAUUAAGAUUUAUGUGUGGUGCUUA